rnacentral:rRNA from 1 species
GCUCAGGAUGAACGCUAGCUACAGGCUUAACACAUGCAAGUCGAGGGGCAGCAUGGUCUUAGCUUGCUAAGGCCGAUGGCGACCGGCGCACGGGUGAGUAACACGUAUCCAACCUGCCGUCUACUCUUGGACAGCCUUCUGAAAGGAAGAUUAAUACAAGAUGGCAUCAUGAGUCCGCAUGUUCACAUGAUUAAAGGUAUUCCGGUAGACGAUGGGGAUGCGUUCCAUUAGAUAGUAGGCGGGGUAACGGCCCACCUAGUCUUCGAUGGAUAGGGGUUCUGAGAGGAAGGUCCCCCACAUUGGAACUGAGACACGGUCCAAACUCCUACGGGAGGCAGCAGUGAGGAAUAUUGGUCAAUGGGCGAGAGCCUGAACCAGCCAAGUAGCGUGAAGGAUGACUGCCCUAUGGGUUGUAAACUUCUUUUAUAAAGGAAUAAAGUCGGGUAUGGAUACCCGUUUGCAUGUACUUUAUGAAUAAGGAUCGGCUAACUCCGUGCCAGCAGCCGCGGUAAUACGGAGGAUCCGAGCGUUAUCCGGAUUUAUUGGGUUUAAAGGGAGCGUAGAUGGAUGUUUAAGUCAGUUGUGAAAGUUUGCGGCUCAACCGUAAAAUUGCAGUUGAUACUGGAUAUCUUGAGUGCAGUUGAGGCAGGCGGAAUUCGUGGUGUAGCGGUGAAAUGCUUAGAUAUCACGAAGAACUCCGAUUGCGAAGGCAGCCUGCUAAGCUGCAACUGACAUUGAGGCUCGAAAGUGUGGGUAUCAAACAGGAUUAGAUACCCUGGUAGUCCACACGGUAAACGAUGAAUACUCGCUGUUUGCGAUAUACAGCAAGCGGCCAAGCGAAAGCGUUAAGUAUUCCACCUGGGGAGUACGCCGGCAACGGUGAAACUCAAAGGAAUUGACGGA